rnacentral:rRNA from 1 species
AGCGAACGCUGGCGGCAGGCUUAACACAUGCAAGUCGAACGGUCCUUCGGGAUAGUGGCGGACGGGUGAGUAACACGUGGGAACGUACCCUUAGGUUCGGAACAACACAGGGAAACUUGUGCUAAUACCGGAUAAGCCCUUCGGGGGAAAGAUUUAUCGCCUUUGGAGCGGCCCGCGUCUGAUUAGCUUGUUGGUGAGGUAAUGGCUCACCAAGGCUACGAUCAGUAGCUGGUCUGAGAGGAUGGCCAGCCACACUGGGACUGAGACACGGCCCAGACUCCUACGGGAGGCAGCAGUGGGGAAUCUUGCGCAAUGGGCGAAAGCCUGACGCAGCCAUGCCGCGUGGAUGAUGAAGGUCUUAGGAUUGUAAAAUCCUUUCACCGGGGACGAUAAUGACGGUACCCGGAGAAGAAGCCCCGGCUAACUUCGUGCCAGCAGCCGCCGCCG